UACGUAGGGGGCAAGCGUUGUCCGGAAUCAUUGGGCGUAAAGAGCGUGUAGGCGGCUUGGUAAGUCCGCUGUGAAAGUCCAGGGCUCAACCCUGGAAAGCCGGUGGAAACUGUCAAGCUUGAGUCCGGAAGAGGCGAGUGGAAUUCCCGGUGUAGCGGUGGAAUGCGCAGAUAUCGGGAGGAACACCCGUGGCGAAGGCGGCACUCUGGGACGGUACUGACGCUGAGACGCGAAAGCGUGGGGAGCAAACAGG
rnacentral:rRNA from 1 species